rnacentral:tRNA from 1 species
GGGUUCGUAGCUCAGCCAGGUAGAGCGUCUGGCUCUUAACCAGUCAUUAUUCAUGGGUUAAAAUGUCGUGGGUCCGAAUCCCACCGAACCCG